rnacentral:lncRNA from 1 species
GUGCUGUCAUAUUCUAUGAGCCCUCAAAAUCUUGUCAAGGACCUUGCUUGAUGACAACUCUUAGAUGACAGUUUCUCAGAUAUGACAUUGUUUUGAUGUUCUCUGCUAGAUAAGCCUUUGAUACCAAGGCCACUCAGUGCAUCCUAUGAUGUUUAGAGGAGAUUUUAGCAACAUUCCUGGCCUCAAAACACUAGUUCCCUAUGGCAUCUUGAUUGUGAUCAUUAAAAUGCCUCCAGACAGCACCAGAUAUGCAAGGUAUCCUGAGUGGGUAGAAGGUAAAGGAAGCUGAGACUCACUGGCUGAGGCUUGAGAAUCAGAUCGCUUUUUAUUGCCUUGUGGGAAUGGAAGAGGUUUCGCUAGCAGCGAGGAUCAACCACAGAGAGUUCACCUGUUCUUGCAGAAACUGGCUGGGCCAGGUUCUCACGACCCAGGAAAGUUCUGAGUACAAAGAAGGAGAAUCCAGGCCUAGAGUUCCUCCACCCUGCUGCUGCUGCAUGGCAUGGAGUCACAAGAAAGUGGCAAGGAGAAACUGGUGUGAGAACAGAGGCGAGAAUCAGAGCCAAGCCAGCGUCUGGGAACCCAGAACCUUUGGCGCGGCGGCAGCCGCUAGGGUGCAGCUGUGGGCUGAUGUGGGGUUCACGCCAGGGGCGGAGCCGCGCAGGAGAUGAGCUGGCAGUGAUGGCGAGGAGGUUCGGUGUUGUGUUUCUACUGUAACUAUAAUUAGGCGGAUUCUGUGUUUAUUUAGGCUGAGAGCUGUAAGAUAAAUGACAGCUUCGAAGAUGCUUUUCAGCACUUCAUAAAUCACCCACCGGCCCGGGCAGUGUGCUUGUGUCUUGUCUCAGUUCUCGCUCGGUGCCCUGCCGGUCCCCCCAUUCACCUCGGAAGAGGGCACAGCCUGGAUGACCCAGGAGCCCACGCCACAAAGGCAAGAGGCAAAGGGGAAGGUGGUGUCUGUCCUUCUCUAAGCUCUCGGCGCCCCGGAAUCAGUGCCCAGCAGCUGCUUGGAAAGCUGUCAGGAAAAGCUUCCUCCAGAGGUGGUCCCCAGGCCCAGUGGGGAUGCGUUGACGGGCAGGCCUGCCCUCCUCUGGGAGAAUAUGGUCUCUAAUCGGCUCUAACUCUUCUCGCCCCCACCCCCGCCUCUCUGACACAGCUGGAGAUUUACGGGAGACACUGGAGAAAUAUUUAUAGUACAGAGAACCGUCUUUUCCCCUCCUAUGCCUGUCUGCGUCUCCUGGGGCUGGGGUGGAAGGGCCCAUGUCUUUUCCCAUUGGGGAGCACAUUCUGGGAUGGUGCUUCCCAGCGGGAGUUUGGAACUCCUUGGACAUCUGAAAGUAAAGAACCAGAGGGGAACCCAUCUCUCUCACCGAGGCCCAGUCCACUUAGGAGAAAGGGCAAUGGACCGAUGGGGCUUCAACUUCAAGCUUGAAAAACAAACAGAUUGCAGAAGCAUUUCCCUAGCAGAACAGCGAACAUACUUGUCUCUAGACCAGGCGCCUUUCCAGGUAGAUGUUUCCAAUCCUAGCUGUGACUAACAGGGUCCGAGUUAGACCGCAGGGGCAAUGAUACGGUUUCUAAGUGUUUGUCUGUGAACUAGGAGACUUUAAUUCAAAUCUUAGCUCCUCUUACAGCUGGGCUAUGUGUUUGCUCAGUCUGUGGACUUUGGCUUCUGUUCUCCAAAAAAGGGGACAAGCUAGACAUGGUGACCCAGGUCUGUAAUCCCAGCCCUGGGGAAACUAAAGCAAAGGGAUUGUGAGUUCAAACGCAGCCUGGGCUACCUAAGGGAUGCUGUGGUUGAGGACAAGGAGAAGGAGGCAUUUUCUAGGCUAAGUUCUGCCCUAGAAGGCAUACAGGCUUUUGGAAAUGUUGCUGUGUCUAUGGCAUUGAUUGUGUCUAUGGUUCCACAGUUGCUUACCUGUCUCCAAACUCAUCAAGCUGUAUACAUUAAACAUCUAAAGAGUUUUGUGUGUCAAGUAUGCCCCAAUGAAGCAGUUUGUUUUUAAAUGUAUGCAUAGG